rnacentral:rRNA from 1 species
AACGAACGCUGGCGGCAGGCCUAACACAUGCAAGUCGAGCACGCCCUUCGGGGUGAGCGGCGGACGGGUGAGUAACGCGUGGGAACGUGCCCUUCUCUGCGGAAUAGCCUCGGGAAACUGAGAGUAAUACCGCAUACGCCCUUUGGGGGAAAGAUUUAUCGAAGAAGGAUCGGCCCGCGUUGGAUUAGGUAGUUGGUGGGGUAAUGGCCCACCAAGCCGACGAUCCAUAGCUGGUUUGAGAGGAUGAUCAGCCACACUGGGACUGAGACACGGCCCAGCCUCCUACGGGAGGCAGCAGUGGGGAAUCUUAGACAAUGGGGGCAACCCUGAUCUAGCCAUGCCGCGUGAGUGAUGAAGGCCUUAGGGUUGUAAAGCUCUUUCAGCUGGGAAGAUAAUGACGGUACCAGCAGAAGAAGCCCCGGCUAACUCCGUG